AGUAGUCAUAUGCUUGUCUCAAAGAUUAAGCCAUGCAUGUCUCAGUGCAAGCUAAAUUAAAGUGAAACCGCGAAUGGCUCAUUAAAUCAGUUAUGGUUCCUUGGAUCCUACCAAUCCUACUUGGACAACUGUGGUAAUUCUAGAGCUAAUACAUGCACCCAGAGCCCCGUCCAGAAAUGGUCGGGGCGCAGUUAUUAGAUCAAAACCAAUCGGUCGGGCUCGCCCGUCCGUAGUUUUGGUGACUCGGAAUAACCACGGCUGAUCGCACGGCCUCGCGCCGGCGACGUAUCCUUCGAAUGUCUGCCUUAUCAACUGUCGAUGGUAGGUUCUGCGCCUACCAUGGUUGUAACGGGUAACGGGGAAUCAGGGUU
rnacentral:rRNA from 1 species